AUCCACAUGACGAGUCCCAAAUAGGACGAAAUGCGCAUCCUGGAU
rfam:Trichobilharzia regenti genome assembly, scaffold: TRE_scaffold0040630